UGAGGGUCCCUGACAGAAGCAGCGAUGUUCGAGACGCAGGGAGCCCUCAGUUUGUCCGUCACUGAUUAGUAAAAAAAGAAAAUACUUCGCCUCUUCUUGCCCAGCUGCAGCGGAUAUGUGCAUCUGUGCAUCUUGACACGCCUUCAAGCCACCAGUGGACACACACACACAAAGCCGAGACAAAGACACACAAACUGACAUGGCUGAGGCACUGAUGACCUUGUUCUGGCGCUCCUGACACAGUAGGAUUGCUCCAUAAACGAUAAGUAAAGACGGAGUGUCUGGGAGGUUAAAGGCCUCCACUUUCACAAACAAAGAGGCUACAGAGAGAAUUGAGCGCCAAAGAAGAAGAGAAUGCAUUUGUUUUGUCACUGGCUUGUUUUUGCAGGAUUUGUUUUGUACGACACCUGUGUUUUGUGCGUUGUUGCAAAACUGGGCAGGAAACGGAUUUGCGUUUGUAUGCCGCUAUUUUAGUCUGCCUAACAUUCUAACCGCUUUUUUACACUACAUGUCAUUCACCCAUUCACACCCAUAUCAGAUCGUAACCAAUUGGACUUAAGAUAUCUACUGAAUUACUUAUACAAUAGUAUCUUGUGUGUAUUAUCAACAUGAUUUAAAUAUUUAAUUUCUAAAUAACACGGUCAAUAUCAGUCUGUCGCAAGACCCCAUUUGGGACAUUCCUGUUCCCCUCAGGACAUUUUGUAUUAACUCUGAUAGCCCCUCAACUUUUCAUGCAGCGCCAUCAUCAGGUUUAUUUCUGAACUGCAAAACGUAUUCCAUGAGAUUCCCAUUGGCAUUAACUGUACUUUCUGUUUAUGGUUAACUUGCAAGUUUUAACGAACGCGCUGAGAUCAGAACGGUUAAUUUCAUAACUGCAAAACAUCGACAUGUUGACACAGUCAUUCUGAACAUUUACCAUGAUGUUGGCAUAUAAUAGGAUACAAUAUCACCAACAUAAUUUGAAACUCAAGGCUUCAAACUCAAACAAUGACCAAAAAGACUAAGCACUGAUUUGUUUCACCACUUUGUCUCCAUCAGAGCGCCUAAAGUGCUGAUCCAACACUUGUAUAACUGCAGUGAGGAGAAGCCUCUUGAGGAGGCACCAAGGAGCUCGCUCCACUCCCUGGGUAGACACAGACAGAAUACUCCAGAUUACCUAGUUUUCCUAAUGUCUCCUCUCUGGCGAAGUGUCUUUCAGAGGGCUGAGAGGCAAACCGGCGCUGGUGAAAGACUCACUCUCCAUUAGUGGAGGUAAACGGCUCUUCUGUGAGCAACCGGCUAAAGCGGGGCGGGAUAAAAGGCCUCUCCACGCACUUCUUCAGGCAGAUUAGAGAGGUGACUCUUGUCUCGAGGAUGUUAAUGUUUGUACGCGCACAGCGGAGCGCUCUACCGCAGGAACCUCAGCGGUCUCAUUGCUGCGUUUAUCUGCAGGAAUUCACAUGGUUCUGUUUCGUCAGCAAUGAAACCUGCAUUUAAUUCUCAGUUCAAUCAUCCUGCAUUAGGCUGUUUUGUUUGUAGUCUGAGCUACACCUUCAACUGCAAUUGUAUUAUAACCAUUGCCUUGGAAUUAAAUGUUGAGGGGAAUUGGUUUAAAAUAAUGGUAAGAACACCAUGGAGCUGCUUUUAGGUGUUUAGGUGUUGCAACUACUAUUCUAUUAUAAUUCUAGAAUAAAAUGAUAAUAGUAAAACUUCAGAAAACUGGAAAAAAUAGAAGGUAAAGAUGGUUUCAAUAAUUUCCUUAAUUUAUUUAUGUAGUUGAUACUUUAACAUAAAAAAAACAUGCAAGUUGUCCAACAAUUACAAUGCAUUUCCCCCUCUCUCAGUUCUUCCAACUCUAACUGGUCCUUACUUUCUGAGGGGGAGAAACAAGCUGCGCCUCGUGGCAGGCUCACUGCUUCCUUGCCAGCUACCAGCCGCUGAUUGCAUUUCGCCCGAGAAGUAAAUACUACAUGCUCAGUUACCAGGUGAAAUCAAGCAGGCAGACGUGUCGGCAGCCUCAGUAGACGCUCGCUGGACCCUGCCUGCUUCUACCUGUGACACGGACUUUAUAGCCAAGUCAGCUGCUGCUGAUCCACGUUGCUGAGCAGGUAUCGGUGUGUAAGUGUGUGUGUGUCUGUGUCAGAGAGGGACAGGGAGAGAUGGAAAGAAAAAAAAAAAAACAGUAGUGACGACAAAGUUUGUUUACUUUUUAAGAAAAUAAAAAUGUAUGGCCAUUGAUUUGAAAGACUUGUUAAAGGAAUACCGAUAACUGCAGCUUUUUACCGACACUCACUGCAGCCGCCAUCGGGCCUGUUUGUUGUGAACCGUGUAGAAAGCAAGAGAGCAGCGGAGGUAUAUUUGCCGGGGAAGGGGUGAGAAUACAAUAGCCCUCCUUCCAAGGGUCUGUAACCAAACACUCUUAAUAAAGUCCCUGCCACUGCACAGCUCGCCUUACAACAACAGGGACGGCAUUAUACAACUCCACUCUUUGUUUUGAAGCGCCCCACCAGCGAGUCCUAGAGAGGGACGAGCACUGCACAAUGUAAAAUAUUGAUGACCCCGUUACACCUUAUAUUAUUUCCAUUGGCAGCACAUCUACUGAUGCUGUGGUCUAGUGUAUUUUUUCGAGUUUCUUAGCAGGCAGGUUUUUUUUGGAGUGAUUCAUGCACCAGAAGUCAGAACAAUAAUGUCAUAUAUUUCACUGACAUGUUGGACGUUGUGAUUUAAAGACAAGUUAAGUACAAUGUGACAUUUUUAAUGAUUAACCUGUUUUCAUAAUCAUCACAAGUAUCAGUCGGACAGAUUGAAUGAUUGUUUGAUCUCUUUUCCGACGAUGUUGGCCAAGACUGGAGUGAGUAGCAUUAAAGGUUGAAUUUAAAGAAACGUACAAGUAUCUUUAAACGAGCAGUUGAUCAUUAACCUUAAACCAAGCAGUGACCAAUCGUAAUGGUUUACAAGACACUGGAGCAAAAAUAAUAAAACAAUACGAACAUAAAC